rnacentral:rRNA from 1 species
UCCCUCAGUAAUGGCGAAUGAAGAGGGAAGAGCUCAAAUUUCAAAUCUCCGUUGUUUGCAACGGCGAAUUGUAGUUGCGAGAAGUGCAUUCCAGGGGAAUCGACCUUGUCUAAGUCGUCUGGAACGGCGUGUCGCAGAGGGUGACAAUCCCGUACGUGACGAGGUUCGACCUCCGGCGAAGUACUUUCCAAGAGUCGGGUUGUUUGGGAAUGCAGCCCAAAUCGGGUGGUAAACUCCAUCUAAAGCUAAAUAUGUACACGAGACCGAUAGCGAACAAGUACCGUGAGGGAAAGAUGAAAAGAACUUUGAAAAGAGAGUUAAAAAGUGCGUGAAACCGUUGGAAGGGAAGCGAAUGGAGUCAGCAAUUCGCCCAGUACGAUUCAGUCGCGUACCGUUCGGUCGCGUGCCCGAUGUCGAUCUUCCGAGACGAAACGUGCACCUCCGGCCGGACGUUCGCGGCGCACUUCGCAUGGGCGAGCGUCAACGUCGGUAGACGCACGAGUGAGAAAGCUGCGAGAAUGGUAGGUCCUUCGGGACUGGNUAAGCCUCGCUAGCACCUAACCCGUAGUCCACCGAGGCGGUCGCAUCGCGUGCCUUAGGCUGAUGUUCUGUGCCGUUGCGUCGGSUGCGAAACGUGGCGGACGGCUAUGCCUGUGCGCUCGAACCGUCGCCGUGCAACGGCACGUCGAAUAUACACCACGYGUUGAGGACGUUUGACGAGCAUACGGCUUCAUCCGACCCGUCUUGAAACACGGACCAAGGAGUCUAACAUGUUCGCAAGUCACUGGGUGCUUGAAACCCGUGGGCGYAAUGAAAGUGAAGGCAAUCUGUUGUUGAGAUGAGAAGCCCUGGCAGUGGUUGGGGCUGCAUCAUCGACCGACCUGUUCUACUCCUAGAAAGGUUUGAGUAAGAGCGUACCUGUUGGGACCCGAAAGAUGGUGAACUAUGCCUGAAUAGGGUGAAGCCAGCG